CAAUGAAUUGCUUAGGGCCUCACUAAGUUGCCCAGGCUGGCUUUGAACUUGCGAUUCUCCUGCCUCAGCCUCCCCAGCUGCUGGGAUGGCAGGCGUGCGCCACUGCGCUGGGCUGAAUUGGUAUUUUUGUAACGGAUGCUGUGGUGAGGUCCACAGUUGUUUUAUGUUUAUUAGUCAUUUAUAUUUUCUCUUUCUUGAGUCAUCUGCAUCCUUUGCUAUUUUUUUCCCUUUAUCUUAUUGAUUUGUUAGGAUGGCGACACUUUAUUCUGUUUGUUGUAUUUAUUUUUAGCUUUAAAACAUCACCAGGGUCUUGGGGCUGUGGCUCAGUGUUAGAGCACUCGCCUCACAUGUGUGAGGCCCUGGGUUUGAUCCUCAGCACCACAUAAAAAAUAAAUAAAGGUAUUGAUUGUGUUCAUUUGCAAUUAAACAGACAAACACCAUCAGACACACGUGCUCCCUUCCAGCCCACCCUCUCCAUUCCCAUGGCCUCAGUCCACCCUGGAGCUGACCCAUUUCUGGAUCAACAAUUGGCUUAUUUCGUGAAGUUCUUUAUUAAGCACGUGUGUGUCCAGCUCUAUAUUGGACUUCUUUCCCAGUCCUCCUCUUGUUCAAUCUGCGACGAGACCCGAGUAACUCAUCCCGUUGUGCAGCUAGAGUUCUGGUUCCCAGCCCUUGCUCAAGUCAGGGGCGGCUGCUGGAGCCAACUGUGGGUGUGGGGAGCCUCUCUGCCAUUUCCAGUGAUGGGGGAGAGACUGUCAAACCCUCUAGGAAAUGCG
rnacentral:lncRNA from 1 species